GCACAAGCAGCGGAGCGUGUGGUUUAAUUCGAGGCUACACGAAGAACCUUACCAGGGUUUGACAUGCAAGUGGUAGGAAUCCGAAAGGUGACCGACCCUUCGGGGAGCUUGCACAGGUGCUGCAUGGCUGUCGUCAGCUCGUGUCGUGAGAUGUUCGGUUAAGUCCGCUAACGAGCGCAACCCUCGUCGUGUGUUAUACGUGUCACACGAUACUGCCGGUAUCAAGCCGGAGGAAGGUGGGGAUGAUGUCAAGUCAGCAUGGCCUUUAUAUCCUGGGCUACACACACGCUACAAUGGCAGAUACAAUAGGUUGCGAAACCGCGAGGUGGAGCCAAUCCUCAAAGUCUGUCUCAGUUCAGAUUGUAGGCUGCAACUCGCCUGCAUGAAGUUGGAGUUGCUAGUAAACGCAGGUCAGCUAUACUGCGUUGAAUACGUUCCCGGGGUUU
rnacentral:rRNA from 1 species